CCUACGGGUGGCAGCAGUGAGGAAUAUUGGGCAAUGGACGAGAGUCUGAACCAGCCAAGUAGCGUGAAGGAUGACGGCCCUAGGGGUUGAAAACUUCUUUUAUAUGGGAAUAAAAUGUUCCACGUGUGGGAUUUUGUAUGUACCAUAUGAAUAAGGCACGGCUAACUCCUUGCCAGCAGCCGCGGUAAUACGGAGGAUCCGAGCGUUAUCCGGAUUUAGUGGGUUUAAAGGGAGCGUAGGUGGAUUGUUAAGUCAGUUGUGAAAGUUUGCGGCUCAACCGUAAAAUUGCUGUUGAAAAUGGCAGUCUCGAGUACAGUAGAGGUGGGCGGAAUUCGUGGUGUAGCGGUGAAAUGCUUAGAUAUCACGAAGAACUCCGGUUGCGAAGGCAGUUCACUGGACUGCAACUGACACUGAGGCUCGAAAGUGUGGGUAUCAAACAGGAUUAGAUACCCCAGUAGUC
rnacentral:rRNA from 1 species